rnacentral:rRNA from 1 species
GACGAACGCUGGCGGCGUGCUUAACACAUGCAAGUCGAACGGAAAGGCCCUGCUUUUGUGGGGUGCUCGAGUGGCGAACGGGUGCGUAACACGUGAGUAACCUGCCCUUGACUUUGGGAUAACUUCAGGAAACUGGGGCUAUUACCGGAUAGGAGCUCCUGCUGCAUGGUGGGGGUUGGAAAGUUUCGGCUGUUGGGGAUGGACUCGCGGCUUAUCAGCUUGUUGGUGGGGUAGUGGCUUACCAAGGCUUUGACGGGUAGCCGGCCUGAGAGGGUGACCGGCCACAUUGGGACUGAGAUACGGCCCAGACUCCUACGGGAGGCAGCAGUGGGGAAUAUUGCACAAUGGGCGGAAGCCUGAUGCAGCAACGCCGCGUGCGGGAUGACGGCCUUCGGGUUGUAAACCGCUUUCGCCUGUGACGAAGCGUGAGUGACGGUAAUGGGUAAAGAAGCACCGGCUAACUACGUG